UACGAAGGAUCCAAGCGUUGUCCGGAUUUACUGGGCUUAAAGGGCGCGUAGGCGGACUAUUAAGUCAGUGGUGAAAGCUUGCAGCUUAACUGUAAAAUUGCCAUUGAAACUGAUAGUCUUGAAUAUGGUUGAGGUGGUUGGAAUAUAUCAUGUAGCGGUGAAAUGCUUAGAUAUGAUAUAGAACACCGAUUGCGAAGGCAGAUCACUAAACCAUUAUUGACGCUGAGGCUCGAAAGCGUGGGGAUCAAACAGG
rnacentral:rRNA from 1 species